AUGUCGAAAACAUAUAUGUCUCGUAUAUUUCCGGGGAUAUGGCCCGGUAGUCUCUACCAGUUCCCGGAAAGAACUGACUACGAGGACUCGACAUCGUGCA
rfam:Tumebacillus algifaecis strain THMBR28 chromosome, complete genome.